GUAGGUGGCAAGCGUUGUCCGGAAUUAUUGGGCGUAAAGCGCGCGCAGGCGGUUCUUUAAGUCUGAUGUGAAAGCCCACGGCUCAACCGUGGAGGGUCAUUGGAAACUGGAGAGCUUGAGUACAGAAGAGGAAAGCGGAAUUCCACGUGUAGCGGUGAAAUGCGUAGAGAUGUGGAGGAACACCAGUGGCGAAGGCGGCUUUCUGGUCUGUAACUGACGCUGAGGCGCGAAAGCGUGGGGAGCAAACAGGAUUAGAUACCCUGGUAGUCCACGCCGUAAACGAUGAGUGCUAAGUGUUAGGGGGGUUUCCGCCCCCCUUAGUGCUGCAGCUAACGCAUUAAGCACUCCGCCCUGGGAGUACGGCCGCAAGGCUG
rnacentral:rRNA from 1 species